AGAGUUUGAUCAUGGCUCAGAACGAACGCUGGCGGCGUGGAUAAGACAUGCAAGUCGAGCGCUAAUUUGAGGGUAGCAAUAUUUUCAAGUUGGAGCGGCGCAAGGGUGCGUAACACGUGGGAAUCUGCCUUGAAGUGUGGGAUAACUCCGAGAAAUCGGAGCUAAUACCGCAUGUGAUCGUAAGAUCAAAGUUGGGGAUCGUAAGACCUGACGCUUCAAGAUGAGCCCGCGGCCUAUCAGCUAGUUGGUGAGGUAAUGGCUCACCAAGGCUAAGACGGGUAGCUGGUCUGAGAGGACGACCAGCCACACUGGAACUGAGACACGGUCCAGACACCUACGGGUGGCAGCAGUCGAGAAUUUUUCUCAAUGGGCGAAAGCCUGAAGGAGCGACGCCGCGUGGGGGAUGAAUGGCUUCGGCCCGUAAACCCCUGUCAUUUGCGAACAAAUUGACUCACCUAACAAGUGUGUC
rnacentral:rRNA from 1 species